CGGCAUGCCUAAGACAUGCAAGUCGAACGAAGUGGCCCAACGAAUGCUGCGUGCUUGCACAAAGUAUGAGAUGGAUUCCACUAGUGGCAGACGGGUGAGUAACACGUAAGUAAUCUACCUUAGAGAUUGGAAUAAUGUUUGGAAACGAGCACUAAUACCGAAUAAUUCAUAAAUGGAUAACUAUUUAUGCUAAAAGAAGCGUUUGCUUCGCUUUAAGAUGAGCUUUGCGGCGUAUUAACUAGUUGGUGAGGUAAUGGCUCACCAAGGUGACGGAAUGCGUAGCCGAACUGAGAGGUUGAUCGGCCACAUUGGGACUGAGACACGGCCCAAACUCCUACGGGAGGCAGCAGUUAGGAAUAUUCGUCAAUGGGGGGAAACCCUGAACGAGCAAGUGCCGCGUGAGUGAUGACGGUCUUUAUGAUUGUAAAACUCUGUUGUAAGGAACGAAACCUUAGAAUAGGAAAUGAUUCUAAGCUGACUGUACCUUACCAGAAAGCCCCGGCUAACUACGUGCCAGCCGCCGC
rnacentral:rRNA from 1 species